UACGUAGGGGGCAAGCGUUGUCCGGAUUUAUUGGGCGUAAAGAGCGUGUAGGCGGCUAGGUAGGUCCGUUGUGAAAACUCGAGGCUCAUCCUCGAGACGUCGAUGGAAACCAUCUAGCUAGAGUCCGGAAGAGGAGAGUGGAAUUCCUGGUGUAGCGGUGAAAUGCGCAGAUAUCAGGAAGAACACCCGUGGCGAAGGCGGCUCUCUGGUACGUGACUGACGCUGAGACGCGAAAGCGUGGGGAGCGAACAGG
rnacentral:rRNA from 1 species